GUUAAAUUCCGAAAUUAAUGUCACGGCCAAUGUCAGUUUGAAGCUUUAGCCGACACAGUUUCAUCGAUAUUAGUGCUAUAAUAAUAAUGAUAAUGCUGUAAAUGAAUAAAUAAAAAAAAUACAACACACAUAAAUCAGACAAUGUCUUCCUAUUAUAGGAAUCAACGGUAAAAUUCAAGGUUAGACUGACCUGACUUUAUUAUGACACAUCACCAUUCCAUAUAUCUGCAUACUAAGUUUGGUCAACAUAAUGUCUAUGGUACAAACGUUAUGCAAUGAACACAAAUAAGACAAGGUUUUAACAACAUAGGGGCCAAAAGUCAGAGUGGUCUGAAUUUAAUAUAAGAUACACCCAAUGUCCAUGAAGCAUCUUCAUACCAAGUUAAGUUAACCAAAAGAUAUGAGCCGGAAGAGUGGUCAAAGGUGAGUCAAGGUCAGAGUGACUAGACAUUGGUUUAUGACUAACCCCAGUCUAUGAUGCAACUGCAUACCAGGCAUGGCUAACCUAAGUUUAACUGUACAAAAGUAAAUAAGAAGCAAAACGGAUGGACAGACAGACAGACGGACAUAUUGAUUUUUAUAUACCACCGAACUUUGUAUACAGGAUUUAUAGGAAACCAAGAGGAGGUCAAAAUUAGGAAAUUUAC
rnacentral:lncRNA from 1 species